CUUCCGCUCCAGACUUAGUACAUCAGCCCACUUCGGAGGACUGGUCUAUCAGGUAGACCAGUCCUCCGAGGCAUGCAGCCAGAAACUUUAACACUAUCUUUGUUACACUUUUUAAGUUAGGUUUUUGUUCUUGUACUUGUGGUCUCCCUUGUUAACCUGUUGUACUAUAUUACACAUGUUGCGGGGCCUGUCAUCGAUUAUUCUGUCUUGGUGCCUCCUGUCUGGGAAAUGAUAUAAACAUUAAUGACAGCAAGAUCCAUGUAAUGGCUCCAGGCAAGAAUUCUCGUCGCCUGAAGUGAGCGCACAUCAAGAAAAUGCAGGCAACGUAGGCAAGAGAAGCGUCAGCGGCAGAUGAUUGAGUUGAGAAGAAGUAGCCGGUUAUCAGCAAGAAGGCAGCAGGAGACUGAAUUUGUGGCAGCUGCCAGGGGUGGUGAUUGGCUUCACCUGACUGUCGGCUAUAAAUUCUGCAGUUUGUGCCUUGAGCGGGCCUCUGGAGACAAUGCGUCUAAUCAGCCUGCAUGACUCUGGUCUGAAGGAUUGGGACUCUGGACUCUCAACCUCCGAAACUCUGCAAGAAGGUCUGGCUUAUUGGAGUCAAGGGGAAUUGUUGUGCAUGGACGAUUUGUUUCUGUAUUCUGGGACUGCUUGUUUGUCUGGACCAAUUGUUCUUCAGUAAAGCUGAAA